rnacentral:rRNA from 1 species
AGUCUCGCUAUUGGAUCGCUAAGCCUGCGAGUUGAGAGGGUUCGGCCCUCGGCUAACGGCUCAGUAACACGUGGAGAAUCUGCCCUUAGGUGAGGGAUAAUCUCGGGAAACUGAGAAUAAUACCUCAUAGGUUAUGGAUGCUGGAAUGCUUCAUAGCCCAAAGCCCCGGCGCCUAAGGAUGACUCUGCGGACUAUCAGGUAGUAGUCAGGGUAACGACCUGACUAGCCUACGACGGAUACGGGGUGUGAGAGCACUAGCCCGGAGAUGGAUUCUGAGACACGAAUCCAGGCCCUACGGGGUGCAGCAGGCGCGAAAAUUCCGCAAUGCUCGAAAGAGUGACGGAGGGAUUCCAAGUGCCUAUGCAAUGCGUAGGCUGUUCCCAUGUCUAAAUAACAUGGGGAGUAAGAGCUGGGUAAGACGGGUGCCAGCCGCCGCGGUAAUACCUGCAGCUCGAGUGGUAACCGCUAUUAUUGGGCCUAAAGCGUCCGUAGCCGGUCUGGUAAAUAUCUGGGUAAAUAGUGAGGCUUAACUUCACGAAUUCCGGAUAGACUGCCAGACUCGGGACCGGGGGAGGUCAGAGGUACUCCAGGGGUAGCGGUGAGAUGUUGUAAUCCUUGGAGGACCACCGGUAGCGAAGGCGUCUGACUAGAACGGGUCCGACGGUGAGGGACGAAGCCCUGGGGCGCAAACGGGAUUAGAUACCCCGGUAGUCCAGGGUGUAAACGAUGUGGGCGUUGUAUUGGGGGCCCUACGUGGGCGCCCAGUGCCGUAGAGAAGUUGUUUAGCCCACCGCCUGGGAAGUACGGUCGCAAGGCUGAAACUUAAAG